CGCGAAGGUGGAGCAGCCUGGUAGCUCGUCGGGCUCAUAACCCGAAGGUCGUCGGUUCAAAUCCGGCCCCCGCAACCA
rnacentral:tRNA from 1 species